GUCAAAACCACACGCCUUAAACGCCUGCUAACCCUUGAAAAGUGUUUUCAAGCUGUAAACAAGUAUGGCCGGGCUAUUUUCUGUCUCCGUAUCCAAGGACGUCGGCCAUGAUGUCGCAAGCCGGAAAUUACGUUGUAGACAAUCACAUCCACACAACAACAUUCGGCCCUGUCAAAACCACACGUCUUAAACGCCUGCUAACCCUUGAAAAGUGUUUUCAAGCUGUAAACAAGUAUGGCCGGGCUAUUUUCUGUCUCCGUAUCCAAGGACGUCGGCCAUGAUGUCGCAAGCCGGAAAUUACGUUGUAGACAAUCACAUCCACACAACAACAUUCGGCCCUGUCAAAA